UACGAAGGGGGCUAGCGUUGUUCGGAUUUACUGGGCGUAAAGCGCGUGUAGGCGGGCUGGAAAGUUGGGGGUGAAAUCCCGAGGCUCAACCUCGGAACUGCCUCCAAAACUUCCAGCCUGGACUCAAGCAGAGGCAAGUGGAAUUGCGAGUGUAGAGGUGAAAUUCGUAGAUAUUCGCAGGAACACCAGUGGCGAAGGCGACUUGCUGGGCUUGUGGUGACGCUGAGACGCGAAAGCGUGGGGAG
rnacentral:rRNA from 1 species